rnacentral:misc_RNA from 1 species
GAUGAAGAACGCAGCGAAAUGCGAUAACUAAUGUGAAUUGCAGAAUUCAGUGAAUCAUCGAGUCUUUGAACACACAUUGCGCCCCCUGGUAUUCCGGGGGGCAUGCCUGUCCGAGCGUCAUUGCUGCCCUCAAGCACGGCUUGUGUGUUGGGCUCCGUCCCCCCGGGGACGGGCCCGAAAGGCAGCGGCGGCACCGAGUCCGGUCCUCGAGCGUAUGGGGCUUUGUCACCCGCUCUGUAGGCCCGGCCGGCGCCAGCCGACAACCCAUCAUCCUUUUCAGGUUGACCUCGGAUCAGGUAGGGAUACCCGCUGAACUUAAGCAUAUCAAUAAGCGGAGGA